GCGUAGGUGAGAAUGCUUGGCGGGGAGGAUGCCUUCGUGUCAGUCCUGCAGCUUCCUGAUGCCACAGCACACCUGGCGGAACUGGGGGCAGGCGGGCAGGCUGGGCGGUCAACGACGCAGCAGGAAGGAAUGCAGGGCGGGAUGGGGCAGGGCCGUGACCCGAGGCCCGUGAGUCCUGGGGGCCGUCCCUCUUCUGCGUGGGGACGGAUGGACCAGGGCUGCGAGCAGCUCCAACACGGAAACACUGGGGUGUUUUCCCAGAGACGCCGCCCACGUUGAGGAAAUGACAGGCCCUCUGUACAGAAGCUGCCGAGGCCCCGGGCUUCACCCCAGGAGGCAGAAACAGUUCAGAAGUCAUACUUUGAAGCGGAAGGAUCACAGGCAGAAAUCAGCACAAGCUGAGGCCCAGGACUUGAAAGAAGUCUGGGUGUUGUCUGGGACCACGUCCCAACGCUGAGCACACUCUCCUGGCCAGUGGACCCCCAGAUGCCACCCUUCCUGCCAGCAGAGAGCAGAGGCGACCGGCUGCGUCCCUCGUGGAGAAGGCGCCGCGGCCUCCCGUGUGACUCAGCGUCUCCCCAGGCGCUGCCGGCUGCCGGCUGCCACCUGGAGGAGCAGGGACAGCUCCCACUCCAGCUCCUCCGCUCUCCGGGCCAGCCAGGCUCUCCUCAGCUCCAGCGCCAGGGCCUGGUGGCUCUGCAGGGCCCAGGAUACCAGGUUCUCUCCACCGGGGCCACCUGCCUCUCCUGGGCCCGGUCUGUCUUCCUGCCGCACAGGCGGGCGGGUGCCGGGAACCACCUGAAAAGCACGCAGAUGGAAGGAGCGACGGGGCCCUGCGGGUGCCGAGCCCACCCUGUGGCGCGCCGGGACCCCGGUCACGCUGCCUGUCUCCGGGCAGCACCCGGCCGAGUGCUUGGGAAGAUGCCAGCAGGGUACAUCCAGGUACUGGCUUCACGCUUGGUGAGGAAGGACAGUGUCGCUGAGUUUAUGUUGCCACGUUCACGCGCAACAACAACUAAUUAUUUUAUUACACAACCAUCGCGUUGAAUAACUUGGAACAAUUAUUGAAUAAUUAAAUCUUUUU